rnacentral:rRNA from 1 species
CAGUCGCCGCGGUAAUACGUAGGUGGCAAGCGUUGUCCGGAAUUAUUGGGCGUAAAGGGCUCGCAGGCGGUUUCUUAAGUCUGAUGUGAAAGCCCCCGGCUCAACCGGGGAGGGUCAUUGGAAACUGGGAAACUUGAGUGCAGAAGAGGAGAGUGGAAUUCCACGUGUAGCGGAGAAAUGCGUAGAGAUGUGGAGGAACACCAGUGGCGAAGGCGACUCUCUGGUCUGUAACUGACGCUGAGGAGCGAAAGCGUGGGGAGCGAACAGGAUUAGAUACCCCAGUAGUCCCUGUCUCUUAUAA